UACGGGGGGGGCAAGCGUUGUUCGGAAUUACUGGGCGUAAAGGGCGCGUAGGCGGUUUGCUAAGUUGAAUGUGAAAACUCUGGGCUUAACCCAGAGCCUGCAUUCAAUACUGGCAGGCUGGAGUUCUGGAGGGGAUAGCGGAAUUCCAGGUGUAGCGGUGAAAUGCGUAGAUAUCUGGAGGAAUACCGGUGGCGAAGGCGGCAUCCUGGACCGGCAUUGACGCUGAGGAGCGAAAGCUAGGGGAGCAAACGGG
rnacentral:rRNA from 1 species